rnacentral:rRNA from 1 species
AGUGGGGAAUAUUGGACAAUGGGCGCAAGCCUGAUCCAGCCAUGCCGCGUGAAUGAUGAAGGCCUUAGGGUUGUAAAGUUCUUUCACCGGAGAAGAUAAUGACGGUAUCCGGAGAAGAAGCCCCGGCUAACUUCGUGCCAGCAGCCGCGGUAAUACGAAGGGGGCUAGCGUUGUUCGGAAUUACUGGGCGUAAAGCGCACGUAGGCGGACAUUUAAGUCAGGGGUGAAAUCCCAGAGCUCAACUCUGGAACUGCCUUUGAUACUGGGUGUCUUGAGUGUGGAAGAGGUCAGUGGAAUUGCGAGUGUAGAGGUGAAAUUCGUAGAUAUUCGCAGGAACACCAGUGGCGAAGGCGGCUGACUGGUCCACAACUGACGCUGAGGUGCGAAAGCGUGGGGAGCAAA